UAGGGAAUCUUCGGCAAUGGGGGGAACCCUGACCGAGCAACGCCGCGUGAGUGAAGAAGGUUUUCGGAUCGUAAAGCUCUGUUGUUAAGGAAGAACGAGUGUGAGAAUGGAAAGUUCAUACUGUGACGGUACUUAACCAGAAAGGGACGGCUAACUACGUGCCAGCAGCCGCGGUAAUACGUAGGUCCCGAGCGUUGUCCGGAUUUAUUGGGCGUAAAGCGAGCGCAGGCGGUUAGAUAAGUCUGAAGUGAAAGGCAGUGGCUCAACCAUUGUAGGCUUUGGAAACUGUUUAACUUGAGUGCAGAAGGGGAGAGUGGAAUUCCAUGUGUAGCGGUGAAAUGCGUAGAUAUAUGGAGGAACACCGGUGGCGAAAGCGGCUCUCUGGUCUGUAACUGACGCUGAGGCUCGAAAGCGUGGGUAGCAAACAGG
rnacentral:rRNA from 1 species